GGGCGUAAAGCGCACGCAGGCGGUCUGUUAAGUCAGAUGUGAAAUCCCCGGGCUUAACCUGGGAACUGCAUUUGAAACUGGCAGGCUUGAGUCUCGUAGAGGGGGGUAGAAUUCCAGGUGUAGCGGUGAAAUGCGUAGAGAUCUGGAGGAAUACCGGUGGCGAAGGCGGCCCCCUGGACGAAGACUGACGCUCAGGUGCGAAAGCGUGGGGAGCGAACAGGAUUAGAUACCCUGGUAGUCCACGCCGUAAACGAUGUCGACUUGGAGGUUGUUCCCUUGAGGAGUGGCUUCCGGAGCUAACGCGUUAAGUCGACCGCCUGGGGAGUACGGCCGCAAGGUUAAAACUCAAAUGAAUUGACGGGGGCCCGCACAAGCGGUGGAGCAUGUGGUUUAAUUCGAUGCAACGCGAAGAACCUUACCUACUCUUGACAUCCAGCGAACUUGGCAGAGAUGCCCUGGUGCCUUCGGGAACGCUGAGACAGGUGCUGCAUGGCUGUCGUCAGCUCGUGUUGUGAAAUGUUGGGUUAAGUCCCGCAACGAGCGCAACCCUUAUCCUUUGUUGCCAGCGAUUCGGUCGGGAACUCAAAGGAGACUGCCGGUGAUAAACCGGA
rnacentral:rRNA from 1 species